AAGUCGUAACAAGGUUUCCGUAGGUGAACCUGCGGAAGGAUCAUUACUGAGUUAGGGUCUUCAUGGCCCGACCUCCAACCCUUGUGUUAAACAUACCACGUUGCUUCGGCGGGCCCGUCCUCUCGAGGACCGCCGGGGAGGUUCCACUCUCUGCCGUUGGCCCGUCGGCUGGCCGAACCGCAACCAAACAUCUUGUGUAAACACUGUCGUCUGAGUUACAUUUAUUUAAUUAAAAAAUAAAA
rnacentral:misc_RNA from 1 species